rnacentral:rRNA from 1 species
GAUGAACGCUGGCGGCGUGCCUAAUACAUGCAAGUCGAGCGAACAGACGAGGAGCUUGCUCCUCUGACGUUAGCGGCGGACGGGUGAGUAACACGUGGAUAACCUACCUAUAAGACUGGGAUAACUUCGGGAAACCGGAGCUAAUACCGGAUAAUAUAUUGAACCGCAUGGUUCAAUAGUGAAAGACGGUUUUGCUGUCACUUAUAGAUGGAUCCGCGCCGCAUUAGCUAGUUGGUAAGGUAACGGCUUACCAAGGCAACGAUGCGUAGCCGACCUGAGAGGGUGAUCGGCCACACUGGAACUGAGACACGGUCCAGACUCCUACGGGAGGGAGCAGUAGGGAAUCUUCCGGAAUGGGCGAAAGCCUGACGGAGCAACGCCGCGUGAGUGAUGAAGGUCUUCGGAUCGUAAAACUCUGUUAUUGGGGAAGAAAAAAUGUGUAAGUAACUAUGCACGUCUUGACGGUACCUAAUCAGAAAGCCACGGCUAACUACGUG